GCGGCGGCAGGGGCUGCUCCAGCAGACACCCCCAGUUUGCACGGGGGUGCCAGCUGCCCGCGCUGCUCCCAGCUCCGGGAAAGGGAGUGUGAUAAGGCGCCAAGAGCGACGAGGGGGCAGCGGCCGGCUCUCCAGCAGCUGCGCGCGACUGUAUGAGGUAUUAGACGCCCCGGGCCAGGGCCGAAGGAUAGACUGCGAGGGUCAUGGUUGCAGGCGGCGAGCCCCAAGCCCGGCGCCGGCAGCGUCCGCUCGGGGUCUCGGAGAAGCCCGCCUGCACCCUGCGCCGCGCGGCUCUCAACGCCAGAGCCCUCCGUGGCGCUGGAGGUUCGCUGGGCGGUGGCGGGACGGGACGGACAGCGCGCUUCUCCAAUGGCCGGGCGCCGUGGCCAGCGAGGGGCGGGGCCACUCUGCCCCGGGCAGGGUCAAGCCGCCGCCCGCCAGCCCCCCUCCUGCGUCUCUCCCUCCCGCCCCGGAGCGCCCCGCCCCGCUUCCCGGCUCUCGCUUUCCUCCCACCGGGUUUGCGGCGUUCGGGGGCCAGGCGGCGAUGGAGCCAAGUCGCUUGGCCGGGCCAGCCUGCUCCUUCUCUCUCAGGACUCUUCCCCCCGCCUCACACCGUCUUCCUGCCAUCGCCUUGCUGGAGAAGCCAGGAUUGCUAUAGGAACCAGGUUCCAGGCAAACAGCAGCAGACCCGUUUCUCAGACCAGAGGCUUCAGACUGCAUAUGCAGGGAGCAGCCCCACCCUAGUCUGUCUAGUUUUGAGGAUGCAGUCUAUAAAGUCCUUUAGUAGGACAGACCAUCUUCCCUGGGAACUUAUCAAUGCCUCCUUGUUCUGGAAUCUCUACAGUAGCAUCACCAAACAUAGAGAAAACUCUUUCCAUUCCUUUGAAUCUGAGAACUUGCCUUCAAAUCCAACUCACUAGCACUGUCUUCUUUGGCACCUGUGACAGCUCCCAUUCAGCGUUUUCUUGAGGAUCAUCAGAUUUUCAGGGGUGGAUUAUUGAAAUGAAGCAGGAUAAGCCUACAUCACUAUUCCUAUAAUAACCUGUGGACAAGUUUAUGCUGUGUUUCUGACCCUCGCAUAUUUUGAAU
rnacentral:lncRNA from 1 species